rnacentral:rRNA from 1 species
UGAGCAAUCUGCCCUUCUCUUCGGAAUAAGCGUUGGAAACGACGUCUAAUGCCGAAUACGACCUCCUUUCGCAUGAUCGGAGGUGGAAAGCUCCGGCGGAGAAGGAUGAGCUCGCGGCCUAUCAGCUAGUUGAUGUGGGUAAUGGCUCACCAAGGCGACGACGGGUAGCCGGCCUGAGAGGGUGACCGGCCACACUGGGACUGAGACACGGCCCAGACUCCUAGGAGG